AAAGGUUUAAGUUUAAUUUAUUAAAAAUAGUAGGUGAAAUUUUUAAUUUUAAAUAAAUUUUGGUUUAACUUUGUUAUUAGAAGCUAAUAAGGCUUAGGGUUAAACUAGGAUUAGAUACCCUAUUAUUCUAUGCUUAGAAAUAUUUGCUUGAGUAGUAAACAGCUAUUAUCUUGAAACUUAAAGGAUUUGGCGGUAUUUAAGUCUAGUUAGAGGAACCUGUUUUUUAAACGAUACACCACGAAAUAUCUUACUUUUGUUUGUUUAGUAUGUAUACCUCCAUUAUAUAGUAAUAUUAAUAAAUAUGUGCUUUAAUAUACUCAUUUAAUAAAUUAGGUCAAGGUGCAGCUUAUACAAAAGUUCUUAUGGGUUACAGUAUUUUAAUAUCUGGAUUAAGAUUUUAUAAUUCUUAUGAAAUUGGAUUUAAUUGUAUUUCUGUUUUAAUAUGUCAGAUUGAUAUUAGCUCUAAAAUAUGUACACAUUGCCCGUCGCUCUCAUUA
rnacentral:rRNA from 1 species